rnacentral:rRNA from 1 species
GAGUUUGAUCAUGGCUCAGAUUGAACGCUGGCGGCGGGCCUAACACAUGCAAGUCGAACGGUAACAGGAAGCAGCUUGCUGCUUCGCUGACGAGUGGCGGACGGGUGAGUAAUGUCUGGGAAGCUGCCUGAUGGAGGGGGAUAACUACUGGAAACGGUAGCUAAUACCGCAUAAUGUCGCAAGACCAAAGAGGGGGACCUUCGGGCCUCUUGCCAUCGGAUGUGCCCAGAUGGGAUUAGCUUGUUGGUGGGGUAACGGCUCACCAAGGCGACGAUCCCUAGCUGGUCUGAGAGGAUGACCAGCCACACUGGAACUGAGACACGGUCCAGACUCCUACGGGAGGCAGCAGUGGGGAAUAUUGCACAAUGGGCGCAAGCCUGAUGCAGCCAUGCCGCGUGUAUGAAGAAGGCCUUCGGGUUGUAAAGUACUUUCAGCGGGGAGGAAGGGAGUAAAGUUAAUACCUUUGCUCAUUGACGUUACCCGCAGAAGAAGCACCGGCUAACUCCGUGCCAGCAGCCGCGGUAAUACGGAGGGUGCAAGCGUUAAUCGGAAUUACUGGGCGUAAAGCGCACGCAGGCGGUUUGUUAAGUCAGAUGUGAAAUCCCCGGGCUCAACCUGGGAACUGCAUCUGAUACUGGCAAGCUUGAGUCUCGUAGAGGGGGGUAGAAUUCCAGGUGUAGCGGUGAAAUGCGUAGAGAUCUGGAGGAAUACCGGUGGCGAAGGCGGCCCCCUGGACGAAGACUGACGCUCAGGUGCGAAAGCGUGGGGAGCAAACAGGAUUAGAUACCCUGGUAGUCCACGCCGUAAACGAUGUCGACUUGGAGGUUGUGCCCUUGAGGCGUGGCUUCCGGAGCUAACGCGUUAAGUCGACCGCCUGGGGAGUACGGCCGCAAGGUUAAAACUCAAAUGAAUUGACGGGGGCCCGCACAAGCGGUGGAGCAUGUGGUUUAAUUCGAUGCAACGCGAAGAACCUUACCUGGUCUUGACAUCCACGGAAGUUUUCAGAGAUGAGAAUGUGCCUUCGGGAACCGUGAGACAGGUGCUGCAUGGCUGUCGUCAGCUCGUGUUGUGAAAUGUUGGGUUAAGUCCCGCAACGAGCGCAACCCUUAUCCUUUGUUGCCAGCGGUCCGGCCGGGAACUCAAAGGAGACUGCCAGUGAUAAACUGGAGGAAGGUGGGGAUGACGUCAAGUCAUCAUGGCCCUUACGACCAGGGCUACACACGUGCUACAAUGGCGCAUACAAAGAGAAGCGACCUCGCGAGAGCAAGCGGACCUCAUAAAGUGCGUCGUAGUCCGGAUUGGAGUCUGCAACUCGACUCCAUGAAGUCGGAAUCGCUAGUAAUCGUGGAUCAGAAUGCCACGGUGAAUACGUUCCCGGGCCUUGUACACACCGCCCGUCACACCAUGGGAGUGGGUUGCAAAAGAAGUAGGUAGCUUAACCUUCGGGAGGGCGCUUACCACUUUGUGAUUCAUGACUGGGGUGAAGUCGAAACAAGGUA